rnacentral:rRNA from 1 species
UUUAAUGGCCGCAGUAAUUUGACUGUGCAAAGGUAGCAUAAUCAUUAGUUUUUUAAUUAAAAGCUUGUAUGAAUGGUUGAACGAGAUAAAAUCUGUCUUUAUUUAAAUUAAUUUAAAAUUUAAUUUUUGAGUUAAAAAGCUCAAAUAAUUAUAAAAGACGAGAAGACCCUAUAGAGUUUUAUAAUUUAUUAAUAUUGAUUAUUUUAGAUUUAUUAAGAUUUUUAUAUAAUAAAUUAUUUUAUUGGGGUAAUAAUAAGAUUAAAAUAAUUCUUUUAUAUUAUUAAUAUUAAUUAAUAAAAUAUAAUGAUCCAAAAUUUUUGAUUAUAAGAUUAAAUUACCUUAGGGAUAACAGCGUAAUUUUUUUGGGGAGUUCUUAUCUAUAAAAAAGUUUGCGACCUCGAUGUUGGAUUAAAGAUUAUUUUAGGUGUAGAAGUUUAAAAUAUUGGUCUGUUCGACCAUUAAAUCUUUACAUGAUCUGAGUUUAGACCGGUGUAAACCAGGUCGGUUUUUAUCUUUAUAUAAAAAAAAUAUUUUAGUACGAAAGGACCAAAUAUUGAAUAUAGUUAUAUUUAUUUUUUUGAUUAUUAUUAGUUAUUUUGGCAGAUUAGUGCAAUGAGUUUAGAAUUCAUUUAUGUAAAUUUAUUACAAAUAAUAUUUGUUUUAUAUAGAUUUUUUUUUUUGUUUUAUUUUUAUAUUAUUAUUAUUAAUUUGUGUUUUAGU